rnacentral:rRNA from 1 species
AACGAACGCUGGCGGCAUGCCUAACACAUGCAAGUCGAACGAGACCUUCGGGCCUAGUGGCGCACGGGUGCGUAACGCGUGGGAACCUGCCCUUAGGUUCGGAAUAACUCCCCGAAAGGGGUGCUAAUACCGGAUAAUGUCUUCGGACCAAAGAUUUAUCGCCUUUGGAUGGGCCCGCGUUGGAUUAGCUAGUUGGUAGGGUAAAAGCCUACCAAGGGGACGAUCCAUAGCUGGUCUGAGAGGAUGAUCAGCCACACUGGGACUGAGACACGGCCCAGACUCCUACGGGAGGCAGCAGUGGGGAAUAUUGGACAAUGGGCGAAGGCCUGAUCCAGCAAUGCCGCGUGAGUGAUGAAGGCCUUAGGGUUGUAAAGCUCUUUUACCCGGGAUGAUAAUGACAGUACCGGGAGAAUAAGCUCCGGCUAACUCCGUG